CUCAGGAUGAACGCUGGCGGCGUGCCUAAUACAUGCAAGUCGAGCGAACGGACGAGAAGCUUGCUUCUCUGAUGUUAGCGGCGGACGGGUGAGUAACACGUGGAUAACCUACCUAUAAGACUGGGAUAACUUCGGGAAACCGGAGCUAAUACCGGAUAAUAUUUUGAACCGCAUGGUUCAAAAGUGAAAGACGGUCUUGCUGUCACUUAUAGAUGGAUCCGCGCUGCAUUAGCUAGUUGGUAAGGUAACGGCUUACCAAGGCAACGAUGCAUAGCCGACCUGAGAGGGUGAUCGGCCACACUGGAACUGAGACACGGUCCAGACUCCUACGGGAGGCAGCAGUAGGGAAUCUUCCGCAAUGGGCGAAAGCCUGACGGAGCAACGCCGCGUGAGUGAUGAAGGUCUUCGGAUCGUAAAACUCUGUUAUUAGGGAAGAACAUAUGUGUAAGUAACUGUGCACAUCUUGACGGUACCUAAUCAGAAAGCCACGGCUAACUACGUGCCAGCAGCCGCGGUAAUACGUAGGUGGCAAGCGUUAUCCGGAAUUAUUGGGCGUAAAGCGCGCGUAGGCGGUUUUUUAAGUCUGAUGUGAAAGCCCACGGCUCAACCGUGGAGGGUCAUUGGAAACUGGAAAACUUGAGUGCAGAAGAGGAAAGUGGAAUUCCAUGUGUAGCGGUGAAAUGCGCAGAGAUAUGGAGGAACACCAGUGGGGGAAGGCGGACUUUCUGGUCUGUAACUGACGCUGAUGUGCGAAAGCGUGGGGAUCAAACAGGAUUAUAU
rnacentral:rRNA from 1 species